UGAUUUGAAGAGCUUGCUCAGAUAUGACGAUGGACAUUGCAAAGAGUGGCGAACGGGUGAGUAACACGUGGGAAACCUACCUCUUAGCAGGGGAUAACAUUUGGAAACAGAUGCUAAUACCGUAUAACAAUAGCAACCGCAUGGUUGCUACUUAAAAGAUGGUUCUGCUAUCACUAAGAGAUGGUCCCGCGGUGCAUUAGUUAGUUGGUGAGGUAAUGGCUCACCAAGACGAUGAUGCAUAGCCGAGUUGAGAGACUGAUCGGCCACAAUGGGACUGAGACACGGCCCAUACUCCUACGGGAGGCAGCAGUAGGGAAUCUUCCACAAUGGGCGAAAGCCUGAUGGAGCAACGCCGCGUGUGUGAUGAAGGGUUUCGGCUCGUAAAACACUGUUGUAAGAGAAGAAUGACAUUGAGAGUAACUGUUCAAUGUGUGACGGUAUCUUACCAGAAAGGAACGGCUAAAUACGUGCCAGCAGCCGCGGUAAUACGUAUGUUCCAAGCGUUAUCCGGAUUUAUUGGGCGUAAAGCGAGCGCAGACGGUUAUUUAAGUCUGA
rnacentral:rRNA from 1 species